rnacentral:rRNA from 1 species
GGGCCCGCACAAGCGGUGGAGCAUGUGGUUUAAUUCGAUGCAACGCGAAGAACCUUACCAGGGCUUGACAUACUGCAGAUCUUUUUUGAGAAAGAAGAGUGCCUUCGGGAAUGCAGAUACAGGUGGUGCAUGGCUGUCGUCAGCUCGUGUCGUGAGAUGUUGGGUUAAGUCCCGCAACGAGCGCAACCCUUAUUUUUUAGUUACCAACUUGUUGGGUUCUCUAGAAAGACUGCCGGUGACAAACCGGAGGAAGGUGAGGAUGACGUCAAGUCAGCAUGCCCCUUAUGCCCAGGGCUGCAAACACGCUACAAUGGCUGGUACAGAGGGCUGCGAACCCGCGAGGGCAAGCG